CUUAAAAAAGUUCAUUCUGAAUAAAAAGCAAAGGCUUAAGAACAAUAAUGCAUGUGAUUGUAGCGGGAAGAGCUUAAAGCUGCCGCACAGAUGCGCCGGUAUCGAAAUUACUCCCGCUACAUUUACAUACAUAAAGUUAUUCUUCAUACUAUAAACACCUGACACAAAUGAAAUCAUCACUUACCUGCCUACUACUUUUCUGCUUUUUCUUAACCGGAAAAGCCCAAACAAGACAAGCAGUAUCCUAUUUCCCCCUUCAAGACAUCAAGUUAUUGGAAAGUCCUUUUUUACAGGCACAGCAGACCGACUUGCAUUAUAUCAUGGCCAUGAACCCUGACCGGUUGCUCGCCCCUUUCUUACGCGAAGCCGGACUUGCCCCCAAAGCCCCAAGUUAUACCAACUGGGAAAACACAGGAUUGGACGGACACAUCGGCGGACAUUACAUUUCCGCACUUUCCAUGAUGUAUGCCGCCACCGGCGACACGACCGUAUACAACCGGCUGAAUUAUAUGCUGAACGAAUUACACCGGGCACAACAGGCGGUAGGUAACGGAUUUAUCGGAGGAACACCCGGAAGCCUGCAACUUUGGAAAGAAAUAAAAGAAGGGAAUAUCCGUUCCGAAAGUUUCAGCCUUAACGGCAAAUGGGUUCCCUUAUACAACAUACACAAGACUUAUGCCGGACUUCGCGAUGCUUACCUUUAUGCAGGAAGUGACCUUGCACGUCAAAUGCUGAUUGCCCUCACCGAUUGGAUGGCAAGCAUCACGUCAGGACUCACUGAACAGCAAAUGCAGGAUAUGCUACGUAGCGAACAUGGAGGACUGAACGAAAUAUUUGCCGAUGUAGCCAGCAUCACAGGCAACAAAAAAUAUCUGGAACUGGCACGCAGAUUCUCCCAUAAGACACUUCUUGAACCCCUUAUCGUCGGUGAAGACCAUCUGACAGGUAUGCACGCCAAUACACAAAUACCGAAAGUCAUCGGUUACAAACGUAUUGCCGAUCUCACUCAAAACGAUGCUUGGGAUCAGGCUGCACGUUUUUUCUGGAAUACAGUUGUCAAUCACCGUUCCGUCUGUAUCGGCGGCAACAGCGUACGUGAGCAUUUUCAUCCUGCGGACAAUUUCGCAUCCAUGCUCAAUGAUAUACAAGGUCCGGAAACCUGUAACACUUACAAUAUGCUCCGCCUGACGAAGAUGCUUUUCCAGACUUCCCCCGACAUCCGCUUUGCCGAUUAUUACGAACGUGCCCUAUACAACCAUAUUCUUGCCUCACAACAACCGGUAAAGGGCGGUUUUGUCUACUUCACUCCUAUGCGUUCAGGACACUAUCGUGUUUAUUCACAACCGGAAACAUCCAUGUGGUGCUGCGUAGGUUCAGGGCUGGAGAACCACACCAAAUACGGAGAGCGUGACGCGGGGACGGAGAAGUGACACGGCCGCCGUCUGACGGAAUAGACGGUUGAAGGGCGUAGGUUAUGAGGAAGGCAGUAAAGUACACCUUCCGAGCUGAAACCUGAUAGUACGGAGCGUUCUUCGGAACAAUCCGAUAGUGCCGGUAACCAUGCUCCCGAGAAAAUCCGCUAAACAAUAACGGUUCGGUACCCGUACUGUAAACGGACACACGUGGUCGGGUUGAAUAUACUAAGGCGCUUGGGUGAAUCACGGUUAAGGAACUAGGCAAAUUGACCCCGUACCUUCGGAAUAAGGGGUCCUCGGUAAGACGAGGCGCAGAGAAUAGGUCCAGGCAACUGUUUAACAAAAACACAGGGCUGUGCGAAUUCGAAAGACGAAGUAUACAGCCUGACACCUGCCCGGUGCUGGAAGGUUAAGAGGAGAGCUCAGAGCAAUCGAAGGCUUGAAUUGAAGCCCCAGUAAACGGCGGCCGUAACUAUAACGGUCCUAAGGUAGCGAAAUUCCUUGUCGGGUAAGUUCCGACCUGCACGAAUGGUGUAAUGAUCCGGACGCUGUCUCAACCAUGAGCUCAGUGAAAUUGUAGUAUCGGUGAAGAUGCCGAUUACCCGCGAUGGGACGAAAAGACCCCGUGAACCUUUACUAUAGCUUAUCAUUGAAUUUGGGCACGUGAUGUGUAGGAUAGGUCGGAGGCUUUGAAGCAGGCACGCCAGUGUUUGUGGAGCCGCUGUUGAAAUACGACCCUUCAUUUGUUUGAGUUCUAACUCGUGAAACGAGGACACUGAUUGGUGGGUAGUUUGACUGGGGUGGUCGCCUCCAAAAGUGUAACGGAGGCUUCUAAAGGUGCCCUCAGACCGAUUGGUAACCGGUCUCAGAGUGUAAUGGCAUAAGGGCGCUUGACUGGGAGACUAACAAGUCGAGCAGGUAGGAAACUAGAGCAUAGUGAUCCGGUGUUUCCGCAUGGAAGGGACCCGAAAGUGCCUGGCAGUGUACCAAGAUAGGGGCAGGUUCGGUACCGUUCCUCACGGACGAGGGUUGGCUGAUGUUCUAUCAUGGCGUGAUAACCACUUGUAACGGUUUCCGUUACUCCAUGGGAGCAGCUAUUCUGGAUAAGGACAAUCCUGCCAAGUUGCUCUACCGCACCCGUGAGUAUCUGCUUGCGCCUGCUGCUCCUUAUGAGUUGCAAGGUGAUGUUCCCAACGUGGUGUUCCCUUGCGCAGCGUUGCAAGAUGGAGAACGUGUAGCUGUAUACUACGGUGCAGCCGAUACGGUAGUGGGGCUU
rnacentral:rRNA from 1 species